UACGGAGGGGGCGAGCGUGAUUCGGAAUUAUUGGGCGUAAAGGGCGCGUAGGCGGCUGUACAAGUCAAAGGUGAAAUCCCUCGGCUCAACUGAGGAACUGCCUUUGAAACUGUACGGCUUGAGGCCGGGAGGGGGUAGCGGAAUUCCCAGUGUAGCGGUGAAAUGCGUAGAUAUUGGGAGGAACACCAGUGGCGAAGGCGGCGACCUGGUCCUUUUACUGACGCUGAGGCGCGAAAGCGUGGGGAGCAAACAGG
rnacentral:rRNA from 1 species